rnacentral:rRNA from 1 species
UAGGGAAACUGCCGGUGAUAAGCCGGAGGAAGGUGUGGAUGACGUCAAGUCCUCAUGGCCCUUACGGGUUGGGCUACACACGUGCUACAAUGGUAGUGACAAUGGGUUAAUCCCAAAAAGCUAUCUCAGUUCGGAUUGGGGUCUGCAACUCGACCCCAUGAAGUCGGAAUCGCUAGUAAUCGCGUAACAGCAUGACGCGGUGAAUACGUUCCCGGGCCUUGUACACACCGCCCGUCACACCAUGGGAAUUGGGUCUACCCGAAGGUGGUGCGCCAACCAGCAAUGGAGGCAGCCAACCACGGUAGGUUCAGUGACUGGGGUGAAGUCGUAACAAGGUAACC